GGCCAUAGGCCAACUCAAGUAGGAAGGGGCGUGGCUAGCGGAGGCGCGGCCAGCCGAGGCGGGUCCACGCCCUAGCCGCGCGCGCAGGGUCGGGGCCGGCGCCCGGGGCGGGCGCAGGGAGCGCGCUCGCGGCCCCGCCCAGCCCGCUUCCGCUGGCUCUUCCCUCCCUCGGAGCAGCGCGCUCGCAGCGGCCGGCGUUAGGGGCGGCGCUCGCGUGCCCCGAGGAAUGCACGCGCAGCCCGGCGCCCGCGGCCUCCGGGACCCCGCCUCGCUGCCGCCGCCGCCGCCGCCGCCGCCGCCGCGCGCCCGGGCCGCGCCCCCGCCGCCCCUGAAGGUCGGGGGCUGCUCCCUCCAGCCGCCCCUGCACUGAGCGCCGCGCCGCGCCGCGCUUUGUCCCCGGCGUGCUCGGCCACCUCCCGGGACGCUCAUGGCGGGGCCCGGCUGAUGCCGCCGCCUCCGCGCCGCCCUCCGAGGCUGCGUCCGCAGGAGCCCGGCCCCGCGCGGACCCCUCCCCGCGCCCCGCGCUCCCCGGGACCUCUGCGCGCUCCACAUGGAGGCGCGCGCCCUGGCCGAGGCGGACGCCGCCGGCCCCCAAGAAGGACCCGCGGAGCCCACCGCGGGCGCGCCCGAGCCUGAGCCUCUCGCCUACCGGCCGGACGACUUCCACAUGCGGGCCACCGUGGGUACAGGGACGUUCGGCCGCGUGCAGCUCGUGCAGGAGAAGACAAGCAAGCAUUUCUUCGCCCUGAAGAUGAUGACCAUCCCCGACAUCAUCCGCCUGAAGCAGGAGCAGCACGUUCACAACGAGAAGUCGGUGCUGAAGGAAGUCGACCACCCUUUCCUGGUCAAACUGUUCUGGACGGGCCAUGACGACCGAUUCCUGUACAUGCUCAUGGAGUUCGUGCCGGGCGGCGAGCUCUUCAGCUACCUGCGGAACCGCGGCCGCUUCUCCAGCAACACCGGGCUGUUCUACGCGGCCGAGAUCGUCUGUGCCAUCGAGUACCUACACUCCCGGGACAUCGUCUAUAGGGACCUGAAGCCGGAGAACAUCCUGCUGGACAGAGACGGCCACGUCAAGCUCACCGACUUCGGGUUCGCCAAGAAGCUGGUGGACAAGACGUGGACCCUCUGCGGGACCCCCGAGUACCUGGCCCCUGAGGUCAUUCAGAGCAAGGGCCACGGCCGAGCGGUGGACUGGUGGGCACUUGGUAUCCUGAUAUUUGAGAUGCUGUCAGGGUUUCCUCCGUUUUUCGAUGACAACGCCUUUGGCAUCUAUCAGAAGAUUCUUGCUGGCAAGAUAGACUUCCCCAGACAUUUGGAGUUCAGCGUCAAGGACCUCAUCAGGAAACUGCUUGUUACUGACAGAACGAGGAGGCUGGGAAAUAUGAAGAACGGAGCCGAGGACGUCAAACAGCACCGGUGGUUCCGGCUCGUGGACUGGGGCGCAGUCCCCGAAAAGAAGCUGAAGCCCCCGAUUGUCCCCAAGCUGUGCAGUGCGGACGAUACCUCCAACUUCGAAACGUAUCCUGAGAAUGACUGGACUUCUGCCCCGCCGGUGUCACAGAAAGAGCUGGAUGUCUUCAAGAAUUUCUGAGCUCGGGACUCCCCGCCUGGAAG
rnacentral:lncRNA from 1 species